UUUUUCUGCCUUCUGUCUGGAAUGACAGACCCUAAAUAAAUUAAGUAUGUCUUCACAACUACAAGGGCUGUAUGUGUUCUGUUGGUUU